AUGACGGUCGCCCCUAACCCACGGUGUCGACUGCUCCACCGUAAGCGCCUGUUUCACCGCCACCGCCGACUUCGGUUGGUCCUCACCCGCGCGUGGAUGGCGCACGCGCCUCUCUCCUCCAAGUGCGCCGUCGACACCAAGCUCCCCUGCCUCACCGCGCGAUCUCCAGCCCCGCCGCGCUCGCAAGUCUUGAGAUCGAGCAGAUCCACCAUCCUGCGCCCUCGCCCCAUCACGCACUCACCUUGGCCCCGCAUCCCUGCGCCGCCAUACCCUCGGCCUCGCCCUCGCCUCAUCCUCCCCUGCCCCCGCACCGCAUCCAACGCGUAGAUCCAGCGUCGUCGCCGCGAUACCUGCCCAUGCCACCGCGUGCGCACCCCCCGUGCCGUCGGCAAACCCUAGCGUGAUCCCCACCCUGCCCCCGUCCUCCUCACAUCAUCGGCUCCCCCGUCAUCCAUAUCCCAGUGGACAUCUCUGGCGACGAGAGGAUGACGUCGUCCGGGGUGGUGGCCGCCCGGACAACCCGUUGCUCGCCAGGCCGAGUCUCCUGAGACCCUUGAGCUUGCUCAGUGACGGAGGGAUGCUUCCAUGGAAGGAAUUGAAAUACAGAUCAAGAAACUCUAGGCUCUAGCACUACUCCAGCUCUUCUGGCAUCUGACCGGAGAAUUUGUUCUCGGAUAGCGCUAGCUGAGCAAGGCUGGUGAGGCUGGAGACGUCAGGUUGGCUACAGUGUCGGGGAUGAACCCACUCAGCGCGUUACUACUCAGAUCAAGCUCCACUAGCUGGGCGAGGUCGCCGAUGGAGGAUGGGAUUGGCCCCGUCAACCGGUUCCCCUGCAACGCCAACUUCGUGAGGUUCUUCAUGUUCCCAAUCCCUGUUGGGAUGGUGCCGUUGAGGAGGUUGGAUUCGAGGCCCAACGUCGUGAGCCCGAUGAGGUCGUCGCUGGCCGGUGGAAUAGACCCGGAGAUGCUGUUUUCCCCUAUGUUCAGUGCUUGAAUCUCCCUCGGGAGGCGGGCAAUGGAGCCUGGCAACUAGCCACCGAGCUUGUUGUUGUCAAGGGCGAGGACCUGCAGGCUGCCGCAGUUGGUAAGAUGGUCCAGGAACUCCCAGCCUUACUCGUCGCUCGCCGUCAGCUGGUUGCCCGACAUGUACAACGACUGUGGGCAGAGCAUGCCGAUGACUCACUGCUCCUUUGUAUCCUUAUGCUAUUGUUUUCAUCCGACAACAUCAACUGCAAUAAACAUAAGAUGGAGAGAUUUCUGCACCAUGGCAGGUUUUAUGUUGCCUCUGUAUAUGCUCCAAUUUCCUUCCCUUCACUUCCUCUAAUAGUUUUGAAGAACAGAGAUGGCGAGCAAUCUGCCAUUGCAGCUGUAGGUUCGCUAAAAAGUAUGGAUCCAAAUCGGAUCAUUCUGAAGAAAAUUGUUCUGACCAUGUAAGCUUGGGUGCAUCCAUCUUCACAAGGCAAUUUUACUUACUUAGAAUCCUGCACCCUUUUAUGUUCCGUCGGAGGUGUUUGGUUUUCUAUCUGUACACAAUCACUGUAAUGUUUUGUGGAGUUUUACAGGAUAUGGCGACAUGUUGGUUCGCCUCUAAGGGCUCCCGUUUAGACCUCAGCUAACAUAGUGGCUCAUCGUUCAUGCUAUAUUAUGUGCAGGUAUCCACAGAGUCUCGAAUCUGAAAUCGAUCGUGUUGUAUAUGUUCCACGAUCCCAACGACGUAAAAUGGUUCAAGGCAAGUAUUUAUGCGUGCCAUUGACAUAUCCAAUUUAUCCAUUUUCGACGCAACGACAAUGUUAUUUUUGCAGCCUAUUGAGCGGUGGACAAAACAUGGUCGUCGUGGCCGCAUCAUGGAGACCGUUGGUACUCAUGGUGCGUCGGUUCACCAAUCAAAUGCUUUUUGACAGCUUAGAUCCAGUUUAUCAUUAUAUAUAUCCCUAUUUCUAGACCUCUUGCUAAUGUUUUCUUUCCCUGAGCAGGUGCCAUGAAAUGUUUAUUCAACAGCAGCAUGAUACUGUGUGCAUGAGCUUGUACAAACACGUGUACCUAAAAUGGCCUUAACAACUCUACCACGUAUAAGGUUGCCUGACGUUUCGCUAGAUCUGUACCAGCAGGCUAUCCAAACGACGAGAAUGAAAUAACCUUGGAGCUAGCGUGGUGUGUAGCCUAUCUAAAUAUUUUUAGGAUUAGAAAAUUGUUUUGUAUUGGUCCAUCUUAUACUUUUCUUUAACAUUACACCCUCAUUCUUCUUGGUCUUAGACGACUCUUUUCAGUAUCAAAUCCAAAUUCAUGUUUAAUUGCGUGUUGAGAUAAUGCCAACUUAUUCCAUGUUGGCAUAUGUACUACCCAGUACCCACAAUCAUCGGAGGGUCUUAUAAGAAACAUUAGGGGGUAACUCUACCUACAUCUAUCUUAUACUUGAACAUCACACCCCCAUUCUCCUUGGAUCAAAUUUAAACCAACAACAAAUUCACUUGUAUGUGGAGGCAUCUAUUUUACUACUUACAGGUAUGCAUCUUGACUAGCUCGCUGAGGGGGAUGGCCUGGUGGAUCUGUUGUUGGUUUGCUUGUAGGUGAUUAGCUAGAUUGUGCUGUUUUAAGUCCCGACAAUUCAGUUUCUGUACAUGCUCGACCUUUGUUGAAUCUACCCUUACAGGUAUCCUCGGCGUCUGGUGGAGCUGCGCCGCCUCCACGCCACUGUCAAGCGCUUCCUCGGCGUCUGCUUCGGCCACUAGCUGCCAAUCCCAUACCCGUCCAGAUAUAAGCAAGCUAUAAUGUGCUUUUGAAAUACAAGCGAAUAUUGCUAUAGCAUGCUGCUUGAGCUUAGCAUUCCUCUUUCUUUCUUUUGCAGCAUAAGAAACACUCUUACGAAGCUCUUACCAAAUCUAACGGUUACAAGAUUCAGUUCAUACUUGGGUUUUGCUCAUUGUAUUGUCUUCAAGCAGGGUAUGAGGAAUAGUAUAGAUGGAACAAUUUCUUCUCUGUUAGUGGCACAUUGUCAAUGGUGUGUCUGACAACAUUCUCAACCACAUCAUCCUAGAGAACAAUGAGAACAAGCCUGUCACAAACAGUCGUGACACUCAGGAGAUAUGCCUUGAACAAGGCCUUCAUAUCCUCAAGAUAUUCGAGGAUUAUCAUGUCAGCAAAACAUCCAUCCUGAACGACCUUGCCUCAGCAAUGGGAAACACUCCAAACCCAUACGAGCAAGCCAUGUCCACUUGUGUGAAUGACCAAGCGAUGAUGCUAUCGCAUAUGGUGUGGCAUGAGUCUACAAUUUCACUGUAGUUAUGAAAACUGAUCAGUCAAUGAUGAUGAAUCAUACGAACCUUUUUUACU